GUCCUGAGGGGUCACUUGGUCCGUGGCCAAAGUUCUGGACAGUGUCAGGGCUGGUCCAGCCUGCAGAGGGGCGUGUCCUGCAGUGAGAAGAACAUGAACUCACAGCCUGGCAGUCCCCUGCAGUGAGAGCUCAGCAGACAUCCACAGAGGCAAGUCCAGCAUCUGAAAGAAAGAAGAAGAAAAAAGGGACUUUUGCAAUCAAUCUCCAAAGCUGACAAGCCCAGAAGCUCUGUGGCUGCUCUGGAACAAAAGGAUCCUCCCAGGGAUGAGGCACCUUCCCAGCAACCACUCCCAACACGGCACAGAGGCACCUCUGGAGCUCCUGUGUGGGGCUGGCAGGGGCUGCCAGGGGGGCACAGCCCCAGGUGGGGUGGCAGUGGCAGUGACAGCAGCAAAUUCCCCCAGUCUGGCACAACAGAGAGACCAAGGCCAGCAGUGCCCAGGGGAGGUGCAGGUUUAAUUCUGCUCCCUGUGCUGCCACAUCCCAGCAGGAAAUCUCCAGGGGGGACAGAAACUCCCAGGAUGCACAAAAUGCAGCAUCUGUCACCCUGAUCCUGCUUAAACUCAGUGUGUGGGGCCAAACCCCCCAGAUAAACACUGCCCUGGCCUGGAUCAGUCUCAGACCUGCCCCAGUUCUCAGCUCCAGCUGCUCCCAGGGCUGCCACCACAUUCCUGACAAGGGCCAAAGGCCCCUUUGGACAGGGCUCUCUCUGUGUCCCAGGCUUUGGGGAUGCAGGGACCAGGGCAAGGACAGCCUGAAACUAGGGCAGGUCCCUGUGGCUUUGGGACACUCUGGGGACUCACCUCACAC